AAAAAGGGCCUCCAUCAUAAGUACAUGAUGACCAGUUCAUUACUAAAAUGACUGGGCGGAAUGGCAAUCAAGACAUUUCAUAGGAAUAAUAUUUGAGCACGGGACAGUCGGCUACAAAUAUUGGCUGACGUCCUA
rnacentral:snRNA from 1 species